CUCUACAAAAAUGAGCUGACUUCAGGCCCAGACCAAAGUCGAGUCCUGCAGCUUAUGUGUAUCCCAUCGAGUGUGUUUAUCCAAGACCUAAGGAGUGGGCUCCUCCUUUCCUGAACCCGGGGUCAGGUGUUGCCGAAGGCCGAGGAGGGCUGAAGUUCCACAUGCUGCUCCUAAAUG